rnacentral:rRNA from 1 species
AAUAGAACUUGAAACCGUGUGCUUACAAGUAGUCAGAGCCCGUUAAUGGGUGAGGGCGUGCCUUUUGUAGAAUGAACCGGCGAGUUACGAUUUGAUUCAAGGUUAAGCAGUGAAUGUGGAGCCGUAGCGAAAGCGAGUCUGAAUAGGGCGUUGAGUAUUUGGUCGUAUACCCGAAACCAGGUGAUCUACCCAUGACCAGGUUGAAGUUCAGGUAACACUGAAUGGAGGACCGAACC